CUCAUUUUUCUACUGCUCGUGGUAAGUGGCUUCGUGGUCUUUAUAGCUGUUACUCUUUUGUACUUUGUCUUUUUCUUUUAUUUUCUUUUGAGCGAUUGUGCGAACAUAGCAUAGCACGCACUAUGCCUUCUGUGUUGUAGCUGCCUGGCCAGGGCGACUGGCGGAUAAGGUCUUGUGCGUGGCCUCGAGGCUUAAAAGUAGCAGUGGGGCUUUGUGAAGGACAAAAUGGCGAUGGCGGGCCGUGUAGGUCCCCCUUCCUAUGAUGAGGACCUUUUCACAGACCUGUACUGAGCUCCGUGAGGAUAAAUAACUCUGAGGAGAUGGGCCCUGCAAGCCUCUUGCUUAGCCGUCUGUUCAGAAAAUAGCGUUUUCGAAAUGCCCUGAGUUGACCUAAUGUCUUAUUGGGCUCCUGUCUGCAGGAUUUACGCGCACGUUGGAACCGAAGAGAGCUCUGUUGUUGCAGUAAGUUCUUACGGCCAUUUCUUAAUCUCUGCUCUUUCGUUGAGUGUGUGGAAGUUGCUACGGGGAUGAUUUUACGAACUGAACUCUCUCUUUCUGAUGGAUUAGUGGAGAAAACAGAAAAUUCUGAGUAGCACUGUACUGUACGCAACAAAUGUCAGGGCCCUAUUGAUUUGUCUGAGGUGUUAGUGAAGGGUGUUAUUUUUUCAGAUGUUCAGCCCACAAGAGCUUACUGGUGAAGGAAUGGGACAAGACCCAUCUUUAUGCAAAGCCAGCGUUACAGUAAUGUUCCAGGUAGGUGUACAUGGUUUAUGCUCUUACAGAGGAGACCUUGUAGAUAACCACUCCAUGAUGAACACAAAAUGACAAGCAUAUGGCUGAACUUUCAAGUGAUGUCAUCUUACUACUGAGAAGUGAGAGAGAGGUCUUAAGGGGUCUUUGAAUGACUAUUUUUAGGUACAUAAAAUGCUUUCCUCUGUUGUCUACAGCAUCUCAUAAUCUAUCCUGGGGAAUUCAGCUGCCUCCCAGGGUGAAUACAGGUAUUCCUGAUGACAGUCUGCCUCUAUCUUACAGAGCAGCUUGUUGCUAUAUACCAUUGAAAAGCCUUCAGAGCUGAGAGGUUAGUUGAUAUUUUUUGUUCCUUACAGCUUAUGCCACCAAGUAGGCAGUUUCUAUGAUGAAUCAAACUAGCUCACUAUGACCGACAGUGAAAAUACAUGAACACCUGAGAAACUGGAGAACGCAGGGAGUGGGGGGUAACCAUGUCUGAGGAAUCUUUCACCCACAGCUUUGUUUUUCUCUAGGUACUACUAACCAAUAACCUGCUUGGCUCAAAGGGCCAGCACCUUCUCUCUAAAGCCCAAGAGGAGUUUGAGGUAAAUGGCUUUGCAAUAGUUACCAUCAAUGGCUGCUAUAUAAAAUUUUCUGUGAUUUUUGUGUGUGAUAGCACUGUGGUCUGGGUGAAUGUACACAGACAUAACUGGCUUAACCCAAAGUCUUUGAUCUCCUGAACCACCAGUGAUGAAUUGCUGCUCACCAGUGAUGAGUUGAAUACCGCCCCAGUCUGAUCAAUGUGUGACUGAAAGGUAUUUUCUGAGCUGUGAGCCUGCCUUCCAGUGACAUGUUCUAAAAAUUGCAAGUUAUUUGAGGAGGCUUUACAGCCAAUAGGAAGUUCUUGGGCUAAGUAGUGUUUCCUAUAAAAUGUGCCCUGAAACUUCUUUCUGCCAAGCAAUAGAUACAAUUGAGAGAUUGUAAAAUGUGACAUAGAAUGAAAGUCUCUCAAGACUACAUUUUUCUUUCUUGAUUUUGCAGGAAAACUAGGUGUCUGUGUUCACUCCAGGCUGAAGUUACAGGUGAGUAAACCUAAAUGUAAGGUGGACUAUGCUAAAAAUUCCCAAUGAAGAAACUUUCACAUGUCUUACUCUCUGUCCUAGUCCCAGAGCCUGUAAAGGUGAACCCACUGGGACUGGCUGGGGGAGAAGAGGAAGAUUUGUUCCAGAAGGAACUGUCUGAGGGAUGAUAAAGAUUUCUAUACAGAGAAAGGGAGUAAUCAUCACUUGUUGAAAACAUUGGUUUUAUUUUUUCCAGGUCUGAGCAAAUAAGGUGUAUAAAAAAUGGAAUCUGUCUUGGAGGACAUCAGAAGGUGAAUUUUCCAAGUUCUUGGACAACCUAGCUGUUGAAAAGCUUUCUGGGUUUGGGGGGUAUUUCAGAUGUACCUUAAAGUGUUAGCAGACACAGAUUAAGACACUGGGAGCCAAUGAAACAGCAGUUGAGGGUUUGCUGUGUAUCACAUUUCUGUAUUUUAUCACCCCCUUCCUGCAACAUUAUUUAUCUGGAAUCUACCUGCCCUUUUGUUUUUUAGAUACAAGGGCUUGGUUUUGUUACCCAGGCUGGUUUCAAGGCCAUAGCUUUAAGAGAUCCUCUCACCACAGAUUUCCAAAGUGCUGGGAUUGCAGGUGUGAUUCAUGGCACCCAGACUUUGCUGCCUUUCUUACAUGAUCCAGGCCCAGAACCCAAACUCAGGCACUGUAUAGAUGACCACUUUCGUAAACUACUGACCUAGCUUGUUGCCAAUUGUUGAUUGAACUUCCCAUAACUCCACUUCGUGUCUGUUCCUCUGUAUACAGCCACCUUCUGUUCCCGUCAUGAGCCUUUAGGUCUCCAUUUGCAUAUUGCAAAUACUAUGUUCCAUGUAGGUAGCUCAUUCAGGGCCUUGCUCUUCACUUCAAAAAAGGUUCCCUUGAGGACUGGCUGUCAAUUUGUGUUGCUGUGUUGGUUGUUGAUGAAAAUAAUAAAAUGAUUGAUUACAU
rnacentral:lncRNA from 1 species